GAUGAACGCUGGCGGCGUGCCUAAUACAUGCAAGUCGAGCGAACAGACGAGGAGCUUGCUCCUCUGACGUUAGCGGCGGACGGGUGAGUAACACGUGGAUAACCUACCUAUAAGACUGGGAUAACUUCGGGAAACCGGAGCUAAUACCGGAUAAUAUAUUGAACCGCAUGGUUCAAUAGUGAAAGACGGUUUUGCUGUCACUUAUAGAUGGAUCCGCGCCGCAUUAGCUAGUUGGUAAGGUAACGGCUUACCAAGGCGACGAUGCGUAGCCGACCUGAGAGGGUGAUCGGCCACACUGGAACUGAGACACGGUCCAGACUCCUACGGGAGGCAGCAGUAGGGAAUCUUCCGCAAUGGGCGAAGGCCUGACGGAGCAACGCCGCGUGAGUGAUGAAGGUCUUCGGAUCGUAAAACUCUGUUAUUAGGGAAGAACAAAUGUGCAAGUAACUAUGCACGUCUUGACGGUACCUAAUCAGAAAGCCACGGCUAACUACGUG
rnacentral:rRNA from 1 species